UGGCGGGGAGAGACGGGUGAGAAAUCACGUCCUGUAGUUAGCAGUUUGAGUUUUGAGCGAUUGGUGAUGGCCCGCCCUGGGGGUUGGAGGGGAUUCCUGCGGAGGGAGACAUUGAAAGGGAGCACAGAGUCUGGCAAAGGCUCUGGAGGUGGGCGCCGGUCCGCAGCCUGUUUUUAUCGCUUUGGGCAUAACUAGAUAUGAGAAGCAUGUCAGUGAAGGCUAUGCGUCACCUGUGUGUGCUGUGGCCGAAAUUCCACGAGAAAAUGUAUCAUUGAGACCCGUGCAUAAGAUAAACGGCCAAAGGCGGGACGUGUGUGCCGGCCAUCUGCCGAGGGUGGUUUGGUCGGAGACUCCGGGGUGCACACCGUAGCUGGGAGAAUGAAGGCGUAAAGGACAAUGUGGACCAUUAGGACCCGGCGUCCUGGCUGCUUCUCUGCUCUAUGAAGUUGGUGACGCAGAGCAGAGGCGUCCUGGUGGUGCCGGUUGUGGCUGGCCUCAGCAUCCUCUCUAGCUGUAAAGACUGCGCGGUUCGGCCAUCAGCCAGGCGGAUGCCCUGGUGAAUGGGGCUCUGACACCCCCAAUGGGGGAAGGGGUGUCUCGGCUCGGAUCAGCUUCUGGAGCUCCGGGAGGAGUGAGAUGCUGAGAACCGGAACACACGCUCAAAGGGACAGUGGCUAGUUUCUGAAAGGCAGAAGUGACUGCUGCCAGCUCUGUACGUUGGGCAGAGACCUCUUUCGUUGGCUGUACAAAUGGUUGGUUAUGACUGUAACGGCUUUCCAUUAGAGCAUCCGUCUGUAAAAACAAUAGCUGAAGGGGGAGACGGGAGUGGGCUCAGGGGUGACCGGGAAGGAAACAGGACUGCUUGUCUCUUUAAGAACCACAAGAGAGGGUUAGAAGGAAUGUGAUAAGCAAGGGCCCCAGCGUAUCCUGCUACCGAAACCUGCCAAUCAGUUGAACAGCAAUAAAGAUCAUUAAUCUAUGCAGCAUUUAGAUGCUGGAGGAGGGGUCUACACCAAAAGGUUCUCCGCUCCUCCUGUGGCCUUUUAAAAUCAGUUCAACAAUUAGCAUGACGUAUGAGGAAAUAGCUUUCCAGGUCCUGAGGCAGACCCCUUCUCCAGUUUCCCUGCUGCCUGUUUUGAGGGGUCCUUGCUAGGGAGGAGGGGACCAUCAAUGUGCUAUUUUGACUGACAGUCCUUCAACCAAUGAAAUCCCUUUCUGGCACCACCCACCCCAAGUUCUGGGGAGGUCAGUUGUCUGCUGUGGGUUUCUUUUGUUCUUUUCUGGACAAUCUCAGCUAAUAUGUCUGAAUUGUCCACAUUAAAGCAUUCUUGCCCUGUUCUUGGAUUUCUGAUCAUUUCAGUAUCUGUUUUGCCUCGCAGGGCUGCCACAGUAGCCAUGCCCUGAGCAUAAGACGGAGUGAAAUCUUCCCAGACCUUUACAAAGUCACUCAUGCUUCCUGGUCUUUUUAUACUUUGAAGCAUGCUCUGACUGGCGGAAUGGGCAUUUUCAUGUGCUAAUUGGCAGAUUAUU
rnacentral:lncRNA from 1 species